GAUGAACGCUGGCGGCGUGCCUAACACAUGCAAGUCGAGCGAACGGACGAUAAGCUUUCUUCUCUGAUGUUAGCGGCGGACGGGUGAGUAACACGUGGAUCACCUACCUCUAAGUCUGGGAUAACUUCGGGAAACCGGAGCUAAUACCGGAUAAUAUUUUGAACCGCAUGGUUCAAAAGUGAAAGACGGUCUUGCUGUUACUUAUAGAUGGAGCCGCGCUGCAUUAGCUAGUUGGUAAGGUAACGGCCUACCAAGGCAACGAUGCAUAGCCGACCUGAGAGGGUGAUCGGCCACACUGGAACUGAGACACGGUCCAGACUCCUACGGGAGGCAGCAGUAGGGAAUCUUCGGCAAUGGGCGAAAGCCUGACGGAGCAACGCCGCGUGAGUGAUGAAGGUCUUCGGGUCGUAAAACUCUGUUAUUAGGGAAGAACAUAUGUGUAAGUAACUGUGCACAUCUUGACGGUACCUAAUGAGAAAGCCACGGCUAACUACGUG
rnacentral:rRNA from 1 species